rnacentral:rRNA from 1 species
GGAGUAUGGGCCGUGUCUCAGUCCCAUUGUGGCUGAUCAUCCUCUCAAACCAGCUACUGAUCGUCGCCUUGGUGGUCCAUUACACCCCCAACUAGCUAAUCAGAUGCAGACUCAUCCUGAAGCGAUAAAUCUUUCACGAAUAGUAUCUCAACUACGCGCAUAUGGGGUAUUAGCAGGAGUUUCCCUCUGUUGUCCCCCACUUCAGGGCAGAUUCUCUACACAUUACUCACCCGUCCGCCACUUUCCAUCCACCGAAGUGAAUUUCUCGUUCGACUUGCAUGUGUUAAGCCUGUAGCUAGCGUUCAUC